CUUAAUCCUGCAAUGGGCUGCAUGUAAGGAAACUCACAUGCGAUCACCUGUCAAAUUCGGGGAAGCCGUUAGCGGGGUAACCCCGAGCCAAGCUCCCAUAGCCAAUGAGCUUACGGAGAAGGUGUAGAGACUUAAUGGCAGGUACCCUAACAGUUCGGCUGAGGGUAAAGAGAAAGUCCAGACCACAAACUGGUUA
rnacentral:ncRNA from 1 species